rnacentral:rRNA from 1 species
UACGUAGGGUGCAAGCGUUGUCCGGAAUUAUUGGGCGUAAAGAGCUCGUAGGCGGUCUGUCGCGUCUGCUGUGAAAACUCGGGGCUUAACCCCGGGCCUGCAGUGGGUACGGGCAGACUAGAGUGCGGUAGGGGAGACUGGAAUUCCUGGUGUAGCGGUGAAAUGCGCAGAUAUCAGGAGGAACACCGAUGGCGAAGGCAGGUCUCUGGGCCACUACUGACGCUGAGACGCGAAAGCGUGGGGAGCAAACAGG